CAGUCGCCACGGUAAUACGGAGGGUGCAAGCGUUAAUCGGAAUUACUGGGCGUAAAGCGCACGCAGGCGGUUUGUUAAGUCUGCUGUGAAAUCCCCGGGCUCAACCUGGGAAUGGCAGUGGAUACUGGCAAGCUAGAGUGUGUCAGAGGAUGGUGGAAUUCCCGGUGUAGCGGUGAAAUGCGUAGAGAUCUGGAGGAAUACCGGUGGCGAAGGCGGCCCCCUGGACAAAGACUGACGCUCAGGUGCGAAAGCGUGGGGAGCAAACAGGAUUAGAUACCCCAGUAGUCCCUGUCUCUUAUAC
rnacentral:rRNA from 1 species